rnacentral:rRNA from 1 species
CAAUAAGCGGAGGAAAAGAAACUAACAAGGAUUCCCCUAGUAACUGCGAGUGAAGCGGGAUGAGCUCAAAUUUAAAAUCUGGCGUCUUCGGCGUCCGAGUUGUAAUUUAGAGAAGUGUUUUCCGUGCCGGACCGUGUACAAGUCUCCUGGAACGGAGCGUCAUAGAGGGUGAGAAUCCCGUCUUUGACACGGACCCCCGGUGCUCUGUGAUACGCUCUCGAAGAGUCGAGUUGUUUGGGAAUGCAGCUCAAAAUGGGUGGUGAACUCCAUCUAAAGCUAAAUAUUGGCGAGAGACCGAUAGCGAACAAGUACCGUGAGGGAAAGAUGAAAAGCACUUUGGAAAGAGAGUGAAACAGUACGUGAAAUUGUUGAAAGGGAAACGCUUGAAGUCAGUCGCGUUCGCCGGGGCUCAGCCGCAAGGUGUACUCUCCGGUGAACGGGCCAGCAUCACUUUCGAUCAUCGGAAAAGGGCGAGGGGAAUGUGGCACCUUCGGGUGUGUUAUAGCCCUUCGUCGUAUACGGUGACCGGGAGUGAGGACCGCCUUUGUAGGAUGCUGGCGUAAUGGCUUUAAACGACCCGUCUUGAAACACGGACCAAGGAGUCUAACAUGCCCGCGAGUGUUCGGGUGGAAAACCCGUGCGCGUAAUGAAAGUGAAAGUUGGGAAGGCUGUCGCGGCCUGCACCGACGCCCGGACUUGAGAUUUAUCGAAGGUUCUGCGGUAGAGCGUGUAUGUUGGGACCCGAAAGAUGGUGAACUAUGCCUGAAUAGGGUGAAGCCAGAGGAAACUCUGGUGGAGGCUCGUAGCGAUUCUGACGUGCAAAUCGAUCGUCAAAUUUGGGUAUAGGG